CUCCUUGUUCGCCAGAUUUUUUUUCACAAUGAUCCAAGAAAUUUCACAGAUGUUGGGGGUGGUGUUCUGGGCUGUAGAGGGUUUCACUCAAGUUUUAGAACCACUCAGGGGGGCUUAUCUCUGAAUAUUGAUGUAUCUACAACCAUGAUAAUUCAGCCUGAUCCUGUUGUGGAUUUUCUAAUUGCCAACCAAAAUGCAAGAGACCCCC
rnacentral:misc_RNA from 1 species